GGGUUGUGAGGUUAAGCGACUAAGCGUACACGGUGGAUGCCCUGGCAGUCAGAGGCGAUGAAGGGCGUGCUAAUCUGCGAUAAGCGCCGGUAAGGUGAUAUGAACCGUUAUAACCGGCGAUACCCGAAUGGGGAAACCCAGUGUGAUUCGUCACACUAUCAUUAACUGAAUCCAUAGGUUAAUGAGGCGAACCGGGGGAACUGAAACAUCUAAGUACCCCGAGGAAAAGAAAUCAACCGAGAUUCCCCCAGUAGCGGCGAGCGAACGGGGAGGAGCCCAGAGCCUGAAUCAGCAUGUGUGUUAGUGGAAGCGUCUGGAAAGGCGCGCGAUACAGGGUGACAGCCCCGUACACAAAAGCGCAUGUGCUGUGAGCUCGAUGAGUAGGGCGGGACACGUGGUAUCCUGUCUGAAUAUGGGGGGACCAUCCUCCAAGGCUAAAUACUCCUGACUGACCGAUAGUGAACCAGUACCGUGAGGGAAAGGCGAAAAGAACCCCGGCGAGGGGAGUGAAAAAGAACCUGAAACCGUGUACGUACAAGCAGUGGGAGCCCCACCACUAAGCCAGUGGUGAACUCCACAUACGCAUCCUUUGCUGAGGAUACGGUUAACGGAGCGAAAGCGACGUUCAACCGCAAAAGAAGCAGAGGGGGCUUAGUGGUGGGGUGACUGCGUACCUUUUGUAUAAUGGGUCAGCGACUUAUAUUCUGUAGCAAGGUUAACCGUAUAGGGGAGCCGGAGGGAAACCGAGUCUUAAUUGGGCGUUAAGUUGCAGGGUAUAGACCCGAAACCCGGUGAUCUAGCCAUGGGCAGGUUGAAGGUUGGGUAACACUAACUGGAGGACCGAACCGACUAAUGUUGAAAAAUUAGCGGAUGACCUGUGGCUGGGGGUGAAAGGCCAAUCAAACCGGGAGAUAGCUGGUUCUCCCCGAAAGCUAUUUAGGUAGCGCCUCGUGAACUCAUCUCCGGGGGUAGAGCACUGUUUCGGCUAGGGGGCCAUCCCGGCUUACCAACCCGAUGCAAACUGCGAAUACCGGAGAAUGUUAUCACGGGAGACACACGGCGGGUGCUAACGUCCGUCGUGAAGAGGGAAACAACCCAGACCGCCAGCUAAGGUCCCAAAGUCAUGGUUAAGUGGGAAACGAUGUGGGAAGGCCCAGACAGCCAGGAUGUUGGCUUAGAAGCAGCCAUCAUUUAAAGAAAGCGUAAUAGCUCACUGGUCGAGUCGGCCUGCGCGGAAGAUGUAACGGGGCUAAACCAUGCACCGAAGCUGCGGCAGCGACACUGUGUGUUGUUGGGUAGGGGAGCGUUCUGUAAGCCUGUGAAGGUGUGUCGUGAGGCAUGCUGGAGGUAUCAGAAGUGCGAAUGCUGACAUAAGUAACGAUAAAGCGGGUGAAAAGCCCGCUCGCCGGAAGACCAAGGGUUCCUGUCCAACGUUAAUCGGGGCAGGGUGAGUCGACCCCUAAGGCGAGGCCGAAAGGCGUAGUCGAUGGGAAACGGGUUAAUAUUCCCGUACUUGGUGUUACUGCGAAGGGGGGACGGAGAAGGCUAUGUUGGCCGGGCGACGGUUGUCCCGGUUUAAGCGUGUAGGUGUGUGUUCCAGGUAAAUCCGGUUCACUUUAACACUGAGGCGUGACGACGAGGCACUACGGUGCUGAAGCAACAAAUGCCCUGCUUCCAGGAAAAGCCUCUAAGCAUCAGGUAACAUCAAAUCGUACCCCAAACCGACACAGGUGGUCAGGUAGAGAAUACCAAGGCGCUUGAGAGAACUCGGGUGAAGGAACUAGGCAAAAUGGUGCCGUAACUUCGGGAGAAGGCACGCUGACACGUAGGUGAAGUGAUUUACUCAUGGAGCUGAAGUCAGUCGAAGAUACCAGCUGGCUGCAACUGUUUAUUAAAAACACAGCACUGUGCAAACACGAAAGUGGACGUAUACGGUGUGACGCCUGCCCGGUGCCGGAAGGUUAAUUGAUGGGGUCAGCGCAAGCGAAGCUCCUGAUCGAAGCCCCGGUAAACGGCGGCCGUAACUAUAACGGUCCUAAGGUAGCGAAAUUCCUUGUCGGGUAAGUUCCGACCUGCACGAAUGGCGUAAUGAUGGCCAGGCUGUCUCCACCCGAGACUCAGUGAAAUUGAACUCGCUGUGAAGAUGCAGUGUACCCGCGGCAAGACGGAAAGACCCCGUGAACCUUUACUAUAGCUUGACACUGAACAUUGAGCCUUGAUGUGUAGGAUAGGUGGGAGGCUUUGAAGCGUGGACGCCAGUCUGCGUGGAGCCAACCUUGAAAUACCACCCUUUAAUGUUUGAUGUUCUAACGUGGACCCGUAAUCCGGGUUGCGGACAGUGUCUGGUGGGUAGUUUGACUGGGGCGGUCUCCUCCUAAAGAGUAACGGAGGAGCACGAAGGUUGGCUAAUCCUGGUCGGACAUCAGGAGGUUAGUGCAAUGGCAUAAGCCAGCUUGACUGCGAGCGUGACGGCGCGAGCAGGUGCGAAAGCAGGUCAUAGUGAUCCGGUGGUUCUGAAUGGAAGGGCCAUCGCUCAACGGAUAAAAGGUACUCCGGGGAUAACAGGCUGAUACCGCCCAAGAGUUCAUAUCGACGGCGGUGUUUGGCACCUCGAUGUCGGCUCAUCACAUCCUGGGGCUGAAGUAGGUCCCAAGGGUAUGGCUGUUCGCCAUUUAAAGUGGUACGCGAGCUGGGUUUAGAACGUCGUGAGACAGUUCGGUCCCUAUCUGCCGUGGGCGCUGGAGAACUGAGGGGGGCUGCUCCUAGUACGAGAGGACCGGAGUGGACGCAUCACUGGUGUUCGGGUUGUCAUGCCAAUGGCACUGCCCGGUAGCUAAAUGCGGAAGAGAUAAGUGCUGAAAGCAUCUAAGCACGAAACUUGCCCCGAGAUGAGUUCUCCCUGAGACUUAGAGUCUCCUGAAGGAACGUUGAAGACGACGACGUUGAUAGGCCGGGUGUGUAAGCGCAGCGAUGCGUUGAGCUAACCGGUACUAAUGAACCGUGAGGCUUAACCUUACAACGCCGAAG
rnacentral:rRNA from 1 species